rnacentral:rRNA from 1 species
GCGAACGCUGGCGGCAGGCCUAACACAUGCCAGUCGCACGAACUCUUCGGAGUUAGUGGCGGCCGGGUGAGUCACACGUGGGAACGUGCCUUUUGGUUCGGCAUAACUCAGGGAAACUUGUGCUAAUACCGAAUGUGCCCUUCGGGGGAAAGAUUUAUCGCCAUUAGAGCGGCCCGCGUCUGAUUAGCUAGUUGGUGAGGUAACGGCUCACCAAGGCGACGAUCAGUAGCUGGUCUGAGAGGAUGACCAGCCACACUGGGACUGAGACACGGCCCAGACUCCUACGGGAGGCAGCAGUGGGGAAUCUUGCGCAAUGGGCGAAAGCCUGACGCAGCCAUGCCGCGUGAAUGAUGAAGGUCUUAGGAUUGUAAAAUUCUUUCACCGGGGACGAUAAUGACGGUACCCGGAGAAGAAGCCCCGGCUAACUUCGUG